GCCGUAGCGAAAGCGAGUUUUAACUGAGCGUUCAGUUACUUGACGUAGACCCGAAACCGGGCGACCUACCCAUGAGCAGGAUGAAGCGAAAGUAAAAUUUCGUGGAGGUCCGAACCCACGAGCGUUGAAAAGCUCGGGGAUGACUUGUGGGUAGCGGUGAAAUUCCAAUCGAGCCCGGAGAUAGCUGGUUCUCCCCGAAAUAGCUUUAGGGCUAGCCUCAAGGUGAGAGAUACGGAGGUAGAGCACUGAAUGUCCUAGGGGGUAUUGCACCUACCGAAGACUAUCAAACUCCGAAUGCCGUCAUCUUAUACUUGGGAGUCAGACUGUGGGUGAUAAGAUUCAUAGUCGAAAGGGCAACAGCCCAGAUCGUCAGCUAAGGUCCCUAAAUGUAAGUUAAGUGGUAAAGGAUGUGGGAUUGCACAGACAACCAGGAUGUUGGCUUAGAAGCAGCCACUCAUUCAAAGAGUGCGUAAUAGCUCACUGGUCGAGUGAUCCUGCGCCGAAGAUUUCCGGGGCUAAAACUUACUACCGAAGCUACGGCAUCAGUAAUGAUGGGUAGGGGAGCUUCCCAUACGGGUUGAAGCAUGACCGUAAGGACAUGUGGACAGUAUGGGAGUGAGAAUGUUGGCAUGAGUAGCGAGAUGUGGGUGAGAAUCCCACAGGCCGUAAACCCAAGGUUUCCAGGGGAAGGUUCGUCCGCCCUGGGUUAGUCGGGACCUAAGCUGAGGCCGAAAGGCGUAGGUGAUGGACAACAGGUUGAUAUUCCUGUACUACCGAUAACCGUUUGAGAGAAGGGAUGACACAGUAGGAUAAGCUAAGCACACUGUUGGUUAUGUGUGCCCAAGCAUUGAGGCAGUCAAAGUAGGCAAAUCCGCUUUGAUAAUGCUGGGAUGUGAUGGGGAGCGAAAUUUAGUAGCGAAGUAGCUGAUUUCACACUGUCAAGAAAAGUCUCUAUCGAGGUUAAAGGUACCCGUACCGCAAACCGACACAGGUGGGUGAGGAGAGUAUCCUAAGGCCAGCGAGAGAACUGUUGUUAAGGAACUCGGCAAAAUGACCCCGUAACUUAGGGAUAAGGGGUGCCACCAUCAGGUGGCCGCAGAGAAUAGGCCCAAGCGACUGUUUACCAAAAACAUAGGUUUCUGCUAAGUCGCAAGACGAUGUAUAGGAGCUGACGCCUGCCCGGUGCUGGAAGGUUAAGGGGAUCUGUUAGAGCAAUCGAAGCAGUGAACUUAAGCCCCAGUAAACGGCGGCCGUAACUAUAACGGUCCUAAGGUAGCGAAAUUCCUUGUCGGGUAAGUUCCGACCCGCACGAAAGGCGUAACGAUUUGGGCACUGUCUCAACAACAGACUCGGUGAAAUUGUAAUUCCGGUGAAGAUGCCGGAUACCUGCGACAGGACGGAAAGACCCCAUGGAGCUUUACUGUAGCUUGACAUUGGGUCUUGGUACUACAUGUACAGGAUAGGUGGGAGGCUUUGAAACCAGGACGCCAGUUUUGGCGGAGCCAUCCUUGGGAUACCACCCUUGUAGUACUGGGACUCUAACCAUAGGCCAUGAAUCUGGUCUUGGGACACUGUCAGGUGGGCAGUUUGACUGGGGCGGUCGCCUCCCAAAAGGUAACGGAGGCGCUCAAAGGUUCUCUCAGUACGGUCGGAAAUCGUACGUAGAGUGUAAAGGCAAAAGAGAGCUUGAUUGCAAGACAUACAGGUCGAGCAAGGAUGAAAAUCGGACUUAGUGAUCCGGUGGUUCUGCGUGGAAGGGCCAUCGCUCAACGGAUAAAAGCUACCCUGGGGAUAACAGGCUUAUCUCCCCCAAGAGUCCACAUCGACGGGGAGGUUUGGCACCUCGAUGUCGGCUCAUCACAUCCUGGGGCUGUAGUAGGUCCCAAGGGUUGGGCUGUUCGCCCAUUAAAGUGGUACGCGAGCUGGGUUCAGAACGUCGUGAGACAGUUCGGUCCCUAUCCGUCGCAGGCGUAGGAAAUUUGAGAAGACCUGUCCUUAGUACGAGAGGACCGGGAUGGA
rnacentral:rRNA from 1 species